rfam:Morus notabilis contig24455, whole genome shotgun sequence.
AUCCCAUGGUGAGGGCAUUUGCGUAACAAUUCCUUAAACCUCUCCCAUGCCUCAUACAAAGAUUCUCCCUCCUGUUGCUGAAAUCCGGUGAUGUCAUUUCUAAGCUU